GCAUGGCUGAAUACUUUUUAUCAGUAUUUUAUAUAGCCAGACACCAUGCAAAAAAAAAGAGAAAAAACAGUCUUCCCUUUAAAGUGGCUAUGUGGUCUGCUAAGUAUUUUCCUAACAGAUCACUAUUAAAGGGAAAUAAAAAC